rnacentral:rRNA from 1 species
UACAGAGGGUGCGAGCGUUAAUCGGAAUUACUGGGCAUAAAGGGUGCGUAGGCGGCUUGUUAAGUCAGGGGUGAAAGUUUUCGGCCCAACCGGAAAAUGGCCUUUGAUACUGGCGAGCUCGAGUGCGUGAGGGGUGACUGGAACGAGCAGUGUAGCGGUGAAAUGCGUAGAUAUUGCUCGGAAGGCCAACGGCGAAGGCAGGUCACUGGUACGCAACUGACGCUGAGGCACGAAAGCGUGGGGAGCAAACAGG